AUGCAAGUCGAACGGUAACAGGAAGAAGCUUGCUUCUUUGCUGACGAGUGGCGGACGGGUGAGUAAUGUCUGGGAAACUGCCUGAUGGAGGGGGAUAACUACUGGAAACGGUAGCUAAUACCGCAUAACGUCGCAAGACCAAAGAGGGGGACCUUCGGGCCUCUUGCCAUCGGAUGUGCCCAGAUGGGAUUAGCUAGUAGGUGGGGUAACGGCUCACCUAGGCGACGAUCCCUAGCUGGUCUGAGAGGAUGACCAGCCACACUGGAACUGAGACACGGUCCAGACUCCUACGGGAGGCAGCAGUGGGGAAUAUUGCACAAUGGGCGCAAGCCUGAUGCAGCCAUGCCGCGUGUAUGAAGAAGGCCUUCGGGUUGUAAAGUACUUUCAGCGGGGAGGAAGGGAGUAAAGUUAAUACCUUUGCUCAUUGACGUUACCCGCAGAAGAAGCACCGGCUAACUCCGUGCCAGCAGCCGCGGUAAUACGGAGGGUGCAAGCGUUAAUCGGAAUUACUGGGCGUAAAGCGCACGCAGGCGGUUUGUUAAGUCAGAUGUGAAAUCCCCGGGCUCAACCUGGGAACUGCAUCUGAUACUGGCAAGCUUGAGUC
rnacentral:rRNA from 1 species